ensembl:snoRNA LOC120097269 small nucleolar RNA SNORA17
UAGGACCCUAGAAACAUUGCAGCUGCUUUAUCUGUGCAUCUGUAGGUGGCAGACAGGAGACAGUUGUGUCUAUGUUCAGUGUUCUGACCUGUGAACUCCUAACAAUCUCUGAAUAAA